rnacentral:rRNA from 1 species
UACGAGUGCCCCGAGCGUUAUCCGGAAUCAUUGGGCGUAAAGGGUGUGUAGGUGGUCUUGUUAAUCUUCUGUCAAAUUCUUCGGCUUAACCGGGGGUCCGCAGGGGAAACGGCAAGACUAGAGGAUGCGAGGGGUGAAUGGAACUCAUAGUGGAGGGGUGAAAUCCGUUGAUAUUAUGGGGAACACCAAAAGCGAAGGCAAUUCACUGGCGCACUUCCUGACACUGAAACACGAAAGCGUGGGUAGCGAAUGGG